CUGUAUUUCAGCCUAUGCAAGGCCACAGCACAGGCAGCGUCCUCUGCCCAGCCUGCUCUGGGCCUGGCAGCAUAGUGCAGCGGUUGAGACCUGGCCAGCUGGGAGCAGGCAGGUGGCCAUGGCAGCAGAUGGGGAAGAAGAGGCAGCCAAAAGACAAGACGUGUAUGAAUGUUGCUGCUGAAAUGGACCUCUCAGCUGAACUCCGAAAGGUGUCUCUGGUGGUGCCCAGGAAAUGGAAGCACCACAGCUUAGUCUCCAGACUGGAUAGCAGUAAGGAGCACAGAAACACAUGGGACAGCAUGGUCCACUACCACUGCAGCAUAUCGGUGUAUCAUCGUAAAGUAUUUAAUAUGAACUAGACUUAGAAAAGAAGGAACAAUAACAAUAUUGACGUAAUCUUCCACAAAAUGCAUUUAAAAUCUGUUUCUCACUGAUAUAAAUCUACACUUUAAAA
ensembl:lncRNA